AAAAAGAAUAAGUGGUCCAGUUGUCAGUGAGGAAUUCCUGGGCUGCCUACUGUGUGUCCACUGUGGCUAUAGCCUCAGGGGCUCUUAAAAAAACUGGAUCUUCAACCAGAGGAAAACGAAGAGAAACAUCUGUGAUGGAUAGUCUUGGUUGUGAAAUUGGCUACAUCUGGAAAUAGCUAAAACCUAAAGGACUGGGCACAUCUUUAAGGGAUUUUUUUUCUUAAUUAAAGCAUUUGAAGUAGGAAGACCCAGUUCUAAUCCAGAUCUUUGAGGUAGGAAGAUCCUUUAAUCUGGGCCAGUCCUUCUGCUGGCAGCCUAAAUAGAGGACAUAGAAAAAGGAAGCUUGCUCUCUCCUUGCCUGCUUGCUCUUGCUCUCACUAACAAGACCAUUCCUCCCAGUGAAGGAGCCUGCUUUUUCAGGAUUCCAGCAUAUACUGAAGAUGAAUUGAGACAUCCAGGCUCACAGACUGAACAACUACUGGGUUCUUGGACCCUCUCUUGAUAGACAGCCAUUGUUGGAGCAGCUGGACCACACAACCAUUCACUUGUAAGACCAUAAAACUAAAUACCAAGGAAGACAUGUGAUGGAAAUGUAUGGAGGUGAAAAAAUGAGCAUGUGACAGCUAAUGAUCAUGAGAGGUGGCCACUGAGACCAGGCCCACCCACAGUUCCUGAUGAUUCUGCUUUCCUCAGUCAGGAAGCUUCCCGGUGACUUUUCGGUAAAGGCAUGAGACAGAACAGAACUCAGGGACCAUGCUUACGAGGUUUGGAUGCCACUGUCAGAGGACCAUGCUUGCUCUACACAUAGCAUGCUCAGGCUGAUUCAUAUCCUAUCACUCUGCUACAAAGUAGAGACAUACCUGGAAUCUGCUUCGAUGUCAUGCAUCACCCAGGCCUGUAGUUUAUGCACCUUUUUUGGGUCCAAAUUAAAGACUUCUACACUUCCAAAGGUGCUAAAACAGAAGAGAUAAAUAACAUCACUGACUCCAAGCCAAAGUGCAGGGCAUCCAUACCUCCUGUCACAAUCCAGCCAGUGGGACACCACUGAGUAGAACCUACCUUGCCUCCCACCUUUCUUCAUUCACUAUGACUCUUGGUUACCAGAUUUUCAAGCAUCCUUUUGUGGCAUUAAAUUUCUAUCAGUUGUGUAUGUUUUCUGCCUCUGUCCUUGAAGGACUCCCAAGGAGAUUUCAUCACUGCCAACUUAGAUUCCUCAACAGGUGCUGGGUGCUAUCAUUAAUGUUCCCAUUUUACAUGGAGAGAACUCACCAUGGCACAGAUACAUUGAGGAGCUGGUCCAAGGUCAUACUGCAACAAAGCCAAGACUCAAGCUCAGAUGACCUGGCUUCAGAGUUUACAUUCUUAGACCAUGGGAGGAUAAGGUGCCAUGCGCCUUUACCCCUGCUUCAAAGUUCUAACUGGGCAAUAAGGCUUUAAGGAUGUCAACAGACACUCCAGCUGCUUCCUCCAGACUCCGGAGCCUCCUUCUCCAGGAGAAGCCGUCACCUUAGCCUCUUCAGAUAUCCCAUGACCUCAAGAGCUUGAAUUUAAUCAUCACAACCAGUGGAACUGGUUGGUGUUUAACCUUGAGCCCAGAGUAACGCACAGAUGAUGUUGACACUAAACUUGGAGCAUCGUCUGGCAAAAGACACCUUGAGGAGGGGCCCUGAAGGAGAUGGGAGUUUGAAGGACGUAAGGAUUUCAGCCAUAAGGAGGAAAAAAACUUAAGUCCUCUAGAGCAGAGGACCUGAAAUUGCCAAAGGGCGCCCACUUCAGCAGUUGCUGCUAGAGACCUCUGCAGGCUGCAGGCUGGCGAGGCAGUCACUCAAACACCUCUAGACUGGUAUUUGUGGCUCCCACCCGCACCUCUCUCACCUCUACAACCGCAGGACAACCUCGUCUGCAAUCGCCCCCUGGACCUGGAGAUCUCCUGCACUCUGGCCCCUGGCCCUGAGAAUCGCUUACCUAUCCCUGCAUGGAGACCGGUUAGUUCCUCUGCCUGACUUUCCAAAGCGCCCCCCUCUCUCUCCCUUUUCACUUUCUGGCUUAGCACUUACCCGGGCUGGAGGCUCAGCAGUGUAGUGUACUCUGCGCAGCGGCCCAGGAAGAUGCUUUGCAAAUGCGGAGUGGUGCCCUCCCCGCUCCACCGCGCUGUGGCAGCUCUCGCCCCCUGCAGCAGCGGCAGCUGCAGGGACAGCCACAGCCACAGAGACAACGCGUAUCCCUGGGCGGCCAUCGAGGAGACUUUGAGUCCUCCAACCAACGACCUCUCCUGGACUCCUCCCAGUUUCUCCUUUCUCUCCCGCCUCGGAGGCGGUUCCCCUUAGCUGAGCGCUAGCUGGAAGCUCAUCCUAACCCAUGGCAGGCCCCCUUCCAUCCCCUUUCCUCUUCCGUUCCGAGAUUGAAGGAUGUGAAGGUUUCAUACAUAAGAGGAAAAAAAAAAAACUUUUUUGGUUCAAAUUGCAACACCCUUGACAAGUGUCCUCUUUCCCAAGGGCCAAAUAUGAGUGAAAUGUGUUUGUUUUCAGGACACACACACACACACACACACACAACUAGAAAUCACCCAUCUGUUACCACGUAAGCACCAAGCAAGCUUAAGCUAAGUUCCCCUUCACACCUUCACACCGUCCUUCCUUUCUGAGUUUAUAAUUGUCUUCAGUUUCCAGAUGAAUAGACUUGGGAAAGUUAAUUAACUUCCCCAACAUCUCAAUCUCACUCCUAGGUAACCCUAAAGAUGGUCUAGAACGCGGGAGUGAAAAGAAUCCCACGUGGAGUGCCAAGUCCUCAGUCCUUACCUCAAAAACAGCUGUGAACUCAGACUGCUGGAGCAAGUACUUGAGACACACGAGAGGGGUGUGUGUAUGUGUGUGCGUGUGUGUGUGUGCGUGUGUGUGUGUGUGCGUGUGUGUGUGUGUGUGUGUGUGCGCGCGCGCGCGCGCGCGCGUGCAUGUGUGUGUGUAUGACUUGAUUUGAAUCCCUUUCUGUUGUAACCAAACUCUAUAUUCUCCUGUCUAGCUUUUCCUUAAGUAGAAGGUUACAAUCCAGUGAUAGGUAUUUUCAGUUUUUCCAGCAUCCAUCCUCUCCAUCCUGUUUGCUUCCACAUUUCUAAACAGGUGUGUAUCCAUUAUCUCUAGGUGAUUUUGUUUUGGAUGUUAUCUCCUGGCUUUCUACUAUGAAAAAGCAGAUUGUAUCUGCUCCCUUGAUGUUCAUCCCUCCCCCCUCCAUUCUUUUUUACCUUUCAUCCUCCCAACAGGGUGUUAACACAGCUAUAAA